rnacentral:RNase_P_RNA from 1 species
AGAGUCGGGUGAACCAACUUUAGUUACAUUAGCUCCACAGACUGCCUCCGCUACAGCACAGGAGGUACUGGCUGAGGCAUUGCGCGGGCAGGUUUCGGUAACCGUGGUUGAAUAAGCUACUGCACUUUACUGGCUGCAACGACUGGGUCUGUCUCCCAUUAAACUGGGUCUUGAUUUAAACGGCGGUGUACUGUUCGGAACCGGUAAGGGUGCGGUAAGAGCGCACCGGGCCACUGGUAACAGUUGGUUGCAAUGUAAACUCCACCCGGAGCAAGACCAAAUAGGGUUCCUUAUGGUGUGGCCCGCAUCGGAACCGGGUAGGUUGCUCGAGCUUGGGAGCGAUCCCAAGCCUAGACGAAUGAUUAUCGAUCUCCCUCGGGAGAGAACAGAACCCGGCUUACAGGCUGACUCACCCC